CUUCGCAGCUUACUGAAUACACUCCCGUUACUUCAGACCGCUGCUUUAAAACGCGUCGAUUCAUGAUAUUGACCUUUACAGUGAACUUUGAACGACCAAUGAAAGUUUUCCAAAAUCCAAAUCGCCCGAAAAUCUUUAUACGCAUUUUCAUUGGUGGAAACAGAUGACGUAUGUACAAAAUUAUAAAUACACGGGUAAUUCCUCAAAAUUUUGUAAACAAAAUGGCGACUGUUAACAAUUCAACUUUCGAUAAGCUUGCAAAAAGUUUCAAUUAUGGACCCAUUAAACCGUUUCAAAAGGCAGUGUAACAAUCUAUCAUUGAGCAGAACAAUGGCACUUUUGUGUGUGCAAAGACAUGAUCGGGAAAGUCUCUGUGUUUUCAAGGGUUUACAUAUUUAUAUAGUGAACUUGGUGAUUGUUUUGGUAUUUUGCUGAUGGAGAAACAAGUUUGGGAAUUAGACAGAUUUCUGCCACUUACAUAGAUCAGCGAAAAUGGGGAUAUUCGUAGAGGAAAAUAUCUGUAUUCUGUUCGACGAAGUACACACUGUCAUGGGUAUAUGACAAGAAACAGAAAGAUGUGUUUCAUCCAGUGUUCACAGGGGUUGAAGAGCUUUGCUAGCACUUACAGCUAGAGCUAGUCCAACAGAUUGUGCCAAAUACUGUAAACAUUGUGUACUAAGUACAUGUAUAAAAGAACCAUUAGAAAUAGUACAGUUGAACUCCAAGGCAUAAAACAUAGGAGAAAUCAGUGAUCAAAGUAUCUGUGGAUCUGAAAGCCUCUUGUAAGUGGGAAGUAAAUGUUAUGAACAAAGACUUAUAAUGUGAUUUACAUGCAUUUACAGAAGAUAAAAUAAGGAUUUUUGACCUUGUUUAUUUAUCUUAAAAUAAAAUUUGGGAUGGAGAAUUAUGUGACAUAUUACUACAGCAAAGAUCAAAUCAAAUCAUCAAUCAGAGCCAAAUAGCAGUCUUAAAGUCUUCACCACUGCAAAAAUGUUGAAAUAUGGUUAGACUUUAAUACUUGAACAGUAUGGACCAUCAUCAGUAUAUGAUCAGAUACCUGCAUUCAACAUAGAGAUUAAGUUUAAGUUGUGUUGGAACACUUUCUCAUGGAAUGCUUUAAUUACUUUAUAGUAUGCGUAAUUUCAGGUCAAGGUUUUGCCCAGGUUUGGCCCAAAAUGUUAAGUUUUGUGAAAGGCGACAGCCUUAUGGUGACAAAUUCAUGAAAACUACAUAUGUAUUGGUGCUGCAAGUUGUGACCUUUAUCAAAAAGAUGUAAUGAUGGAAAUUUUACUGGUCAUAUGAAAUACAUGUGCAUGUGCAAUUUAAAUUAUAUAUUAAAUCAGAAUCUUUAGUGUCCUAUCAACACUCACAUCAAAUGGCUGUACUUAGGUUUAAAAUUCUGGCAUCAUUUUCCAUGAAAUUUAGAUCUUUUCUUUUACAAUUUUGUAAUUUUUGAUAAAUUUUAAAAUUAGCUGUUUCUGAAACAUGAAAAUUUACUGUGUGAGAUAUUGUGUAAUGCAUUAAGGAUGUAACAAGUUGAAUUUUGUUGACUUUAUUUUCUGCCCACAUCAGGCACCAGUAUUUUGUGAAUGAUAUCCCCUUUAUAAAUUUGAAUAUUUGGGGUAUUUACAGCUUCUAUGUUAUUACUGUUGCUUACCCUAAAUGAGAUAGCACCUUUAAUUAAUUAAUAAUUAACAAUGAGUUAUGUCUAAUUUUUUCACAGUCUUGAAUAAAUGUAGAUCUGCAGGAAAUGUUAUAAUUACAUUGUAAAUGAUUGCAUUUGAACUGGGGGCAUUUGUUUCACAUUAAGCAUCAUAUCAUAUAGAACAAGCUGCAUAAAUCCUGCAUAAUUAUUUUUGUUUAGGAAUAUGGUUCCUGAUCCUAAGUUAGAUUUUUUAAUUCAACUUGUAAUGUCUGAACUAACAGUUUUGCUUUAACAUGAAAUUAUUUAUGGGAUAUUUGUCAUUCAUGACAACAUAAUAAGACUUGCAGCAUUUCUUUAAAUGCUUUUAGAUGUUACCAGUAUUUGUUUUUGAAUUUUGCAAAAUGAAAGCAUUGAUGCAAAAUUAUAUCAACCCUUAGCCUGUAGAGUUUCUUAAUGGAAAUGUCUGGCUUUCAUAUUUAAAAGUGUUUAUUAUCAUUUUGGGUACAUUAUACAUCAGGAUGGAAAGUUAAAGUUAGUGAGACAACAGUGUGGAGCCUGUUCAGUCUCAAUAGCCUGGCUGUAUACUGCUGGCAAAGGCUAAUCACUUGGUUUCAGCAGUGUAAGCGUUAAAUGCUGGCCUGGUAUCAAAGUUUUAGUAGGCAUUAUGUCGGAAAAGUUCAAUGGCUCUGACAAUUUAAAGUCAUUCUUAAAUUUUGUGUUCUAAGACUUAAAGCAGCAUGCCUCCAGGUUCAUGCUAAUUUUCAUUAAAAUUUUCAAAAUGUAUUAAAAAAUAUUAAAAUAUUGGUAUAUGUGUAAAGUAAAAACUUAAAAAUCUUCUUUUAGCUAGAGUUUAGAUACUAAGCAUGAAAUAUCUUCUAGUGAGUGUUAACCAAAUAAAUUUUGUUCAAAUAAAAGCUCGGGGACAAAAUUGGCCCUGCCCAGAAGGGGGUCAUUGUUUUUCCCUUAAUGUAUAUAGUAAAAACUUUAAAAAAAAUUAAGAGCUCGAGCUUAGAUAUUUAUCUUGAAACAUCUUCAAAUGGGUGUCUACCAAGUUUGAUCAAAUAAAAGCCCCUGGGUUAAAAUUGGCCUCACCCCGAGGGCCUAUAUACAGGUGAGCGUCUUCAGGGCCAUUAUGGCCCUCUUGUUUUUUUUCUUGUGAAUGAUUUUCUAUGUCAUUAUUUGAGAAAUUAUUAAUUAGUUAGCUUACAUACUUGCUGAUAAAGCUUAGAAAUCCUAAAAUAGUUUACUUGGUACAAGUAGAUGAAAACUGAUCUACCUUUAGUGUCUACAUGUAAGUUAUUUCUGAUUAUAUUUGAAGUAAUGCUGGUCACAUGACUAUUGUGGUUAAAAUAAAAACAAAUUUGAAAGAAAUUUGUUAAAUUAUUACCAUUGAUUUACCAAAAAUAAGAUAAUAAUCUGUAGGCUCUUGCUUUGAUUUAAUGCAUAUUUAGUAAACACUGUACAAUGUAACAAUGUGAAUUGGAAUCAUGAUUUCACUGAACAUAGUAACAAUAUGACCGGGUAUCUGACUCAGAAAGUUUAAUAUUAAACCAGUGCUGAAGACACAAAUUGUACUUUAAAACCUGAAAUUAAAUAUGCAUUGCCUACUCAAUAACUAGCUAAAAAUAUACCAACCUAUUUGUAUUUAGUGUUGGUCAAGUUUGAUCUUGCUGUUAUUCUAUUGUUACUAUUGACUUAGGAUGUUAACUUCAUAGGAAGAGAAAUAUUUGUCAAUUUAUCCCUGUGAUUCUGAGUGACCUUACAGCCAACUUAUGUACUCUUUUUUUUUUGUUAUGUUUAUGUGAUCAAACCUUGAUACAUUAUAUUUAGGACUGUGGUUAUACAUGUAUGUUAAAUCAAUAAAAUAUUGCAUUUGUAAUUUCAUAUACACAUUGUUUUGAAAAUCAAGACUUAGAGGUAUGAAAUAAAUUCAUUGAUGAUCUACAGUGCAGUUAUUAUUUUUAGCUUAACUAUUUGAAGAAAAAUGGGGCUAUCCUUUACACCUGGAAUUCUUCAUCAGUGUAACAUCUUAAAGUUUUUCGUGCAACUAAUGGCUUGCACUUUACCUUGGUUUGAAAUCUGCAUUAUUUCAUGUGUAAAAGACUUUGCACACUUUUUGGGAUCAUAAAAAUUGUCACUUUCCAAGGCCAGUAACUCUAGCAUGGAUUUUGACAGAAGUAUGACCCUCUAAACUUGUGAUUUAAUACAGGUUAAAGUUUUGCCUGCAAAAUUAAUCUUGAAACUUAAUUUGUAUGUUUGUUUUGGGUUUUACGUCACAUCGACACAGUAUAGGUCAUAUCGCAACGUUCCGGCUUUACUGGUGGAGGAAGACCUCAGGUGCCCUUCCGUGCAUUAUUUCAGGCACAAACGGGCACCUGAGUAGAACCACCGACGUUCCGUAAGCUAGCUGGAUAGCUUCCUCAUAUGAAAUAAUCCAAAGUCCCUGUCGGGAUUCGAACCCACAGCGGUGAGGGGAAAGUGGGUUGAAGUCAACGACCUUAACCACUCGGCCACAGACGCCCCGAAACUUAAUAAUAGUAUACCUUGGAGGUCACUGUCAAAGGCUCAUAACUUGUGAAUUUUAAAUGAAAUAUGGCCUCAUGCGAACAUAAAUAAAAUUGCAACACUUGAUCAUAUGUAUAUAAAUGAAAUAUUCCUUAGUUAAUUCAAACAUUUUCAAUCAAGUUCUGAGAAUAGUUAAAUAGAACAACUGUUCUAUUGACAGCCCUUGUUGAUAUUAAUGGACAAGCUUGUGGUUGCUGUGGUAGUCUCCUGAUUGACUACAAUAUUAUUAAGUAGAAUAGCUGAAUUUCAAAUGAGUAACCAAUGCAGUUUUACUAUUGAUGUUUAAAAUAGUGUUGGUUGAGUUUGCACAUAUCUGUAUGUAGUAGCCUAUGUAUAUGUCAUUUUGCACAUACAUGUAUAUAUCAUGACUGUACAAAACCUGCCCAUCCAUGGAAAAAACACAGGGUAUGAAAGUACGUCAAAUAUGAUUUUGGAUAUUCUUAAAUGGCCAUCAUUAAAGCUAGAUGAUACUGACUUUGUAUGUACUGUUCUAUAUAAGAUCAGUCAAAUUAAUAUUUUUUAAAUUACUUUUUGUGCAUAGUAUACACCUGGACCUGGUGUAAUGUUGCAAUAGCAUGUGAUAACUUCUUCCGCUUUAUUCAUACAUGUAUAUAAGAAUGGCUCUGUUUUUCGAGGGAUUGGUUGAGUUACUGUCGAAAUGCUUCUGGUCAUCUGAGAAAAUAUAAGAAAAAUAAUUUUAACGGCCUGACGUGGACUUUCUUGCAGCCAGAAUAUGCAUGCGGACCAUUAUUCGUAUUGAGCUACCGUUUACGUAGACUCCAUUACAAUUGACUAUCCAUAAAUAAUAUAUCAUCGCGAAUUUACCAUUUUGGUCGUUUAAAACAAACAAUUUUAUGUAAAGUACAAAUGAACACGCAUUGUUUACAUUACGGUGCGUCAAAUUCAGGUAUGUGACAAAUCGUUACAAGUAAGCUAGUCACUGAUUGGCUGAAGUGUAGACAUGGAUUUUCCUGUCUAAAAAUAGAAAUAUCGGUCUGAACCUACAAUUUUAGCAGAGGUAAGAAGUGAGCGAUAGUGGAACAUUCGACCGAUG